rnacentral:misc_RNA from 1 species
UACGGAGGGGGCUAGCGUUGUUCGGAAUUACUGGGCGUAAAGGGCGCGUAGGCGGCGAGCAUAGUCGGAUGUGAAAGCCCCGGGCUUAACCUGGGAUGUGCAUUCGAUACUGGCUUGCUAGAGUUCGGGAGAGGUCAGUGGAAUACCCAGUGUAGAGGUGAAAUUCGUAGAUAUUGGGUGGAACACCAGUGGCGAAGGCGACUGACUGGACCGAUACUGACGCUGAGGCGCGAAAGCGUGGGGAGCAAACAGG